GGUGAGUCCAGGUGCUGGUCCAGUUCCACCUGGAGUACACACCCAGGUGAGUCCAAGUCCUGGUCCAGUCCCACCUGGAGUACACACCCAGGUGAGUCCAAGUCCAGGUCCAGUCCCACCUGGAGUACACACCCAGGUGAGUUCAGGUCCUGGUCCAGUUCCACCUGGGGUACACACCCAGGUGAGUCCAAGUCCAGGUCCAGUCCCACCUGGAGUACACACCCAGGUGAGUCCAAGUCCUGGUCCAGUCCCACCUGGAGUACACACCCAGGUGAGUUCAGGUCCUGGUCCAGUUCCACCUGGAGUACACACCCAGGUGAGUCCAAGUCCUGGUCCAGUCCCACCUGGAGUACACACCCAGG